rnacentral:lncRNA from 1 species
UAGUUUUCAAGCUUUUGCAAGGUUACUAGUUCAGUUUUCAUUGGAGGUUUUUGAAGAUCAAAGGGAUGAGAGAGAAGAGCUUCAUGCUUCGGGUCGGGGAAGGAAAGACAGAGAAUUUGGAUUUUUCUUCUUCGUAGAGUUUUGGGAAGGCUGAGGCAAUCGCUGUUGAAGUCAGUAUUGUAAUGGUGAAUCGAGAUUUUUAAUGAAGUGGGUUUGAAUACUCUUGACUGUUUUGUGAAAUCGAGUUACGUCUGUGAUUGAAGGAUUAAAAGGGCGUCUAUAGGAUUGAGUAUGCGGAGUGAAUGAAAUUUAUUGGAUUAAUCUAACAAGACAGUCAAUGGAUACAAGAUCG